UCGGGAAUUUUGGGCAAUGGGCGAAAGCCUGACCCAGCAACGCCGCGUGAAGGAUGAAGUAUUUCGGUAUGUAAACUUCGAAAGAAUAGGAAGAAUAAAUGACGGUACUAUUUAUAAGGUCCGGCUAACUACGUGCCAGCAGCCGCGGUAAUACGUAGGGACCAAGCGUUGUUCGGAUUUACUGGGCGUAAAGGGCGCGUAGGCGGCAAUUCAAGUCAUCUGUGAAAUCUCCGGGCUUAACUCGGAACGGUCAGAUGAUACUGCUUUGCUAGAGUGCAGAAGGGGCAAUCGGAAUUCUUGGUGUAGCGGUGAAAUGCGUAGAUAUCAAGAGGAACACCUGAGGUGAAGACGGGUUGCUGGGCUGACACUGACGCUGAGGCGCGAAAGCCAGGGGAGCAAACGGGAUUAGAUACUCAUGUAGUCCCUGAGCGGGCUGGCAAGGCGCAU
rnacentral:rRNA from 1 species